rnacentral:lncRNA from 1 species
AAAUAUGAAUUGUCUCCUAAAAGAAUAAGCCAAAAAUGUGAAAAGGAUGAAGACUAGCUGUUCCAGAAUUUUCCAUAUCUCUUUAAGAAGGCCCUACAGACCUCAAAGUUCUGAUCUGUGACAUGAUGUCAGUGUUCUAUAGGUUUUUAACAAUAAGUCAUCUGAUGUAACCUGGUAACAAUGAGCAAGAGAAUCAUUCAGAGUUCCAUGGCCCCAGCAUAUAUGAUGGCACCUCCUAUAACUUCAGUUUACUGUCCCAUUUUUGAGAAGCCUCACAUGAAAUUCACUGCUGAACAGGUGAUAGGGAAUUUGACUAGGAAAGUGACAUUAUUAAAUCUAUGUUUCAAGAAGAAUAUAUGUAGAAGAUGGAUUCAUCCAAAAUGA